rnacentral:rRNA from 1 species
CAGCCCUAAACGAUGCGCGUUAGGUGUAUCGGUGACCACGAGUCACCGAGGUGCCGAAGGGAAACCGUGAAACGUGCCGCCUGGGAAGUACGGUCGCAAGGCUGAAACUUAAAGGAAUUGGCGGGGGGAGCACCACAACGGGUGGAGCCUGCGGUUUAAAUUUGGACUCAACGCCGGGAAGCUCACCGGAUAAGACAGCGGAAUGAUUGCCGGGCUGAAGACCCUGCAUGACCGGCUGAGAGGAGGUGCAUGGCGUAGACGUCU